CCUACGGGAGACAGCAGUGGGGAAUAUUGGGCAAUGGACGCAAGUCUGACCCAGCAACGCCGCGUGAAGGAAGAAGGCUUUCGGGUUGGAAACUUCUGUUAAGGGGGAAGAGAAGAAGACGGUACCCCUUGAAUAAGCCACGGCUAACGACGGGCCAGCAGCCGCGGUACUACGUAGGUGGCAAGCGUUGUCCGGAUUUACUGGGUGUAAAGGGCGUGCAGCCGGCGAGACAAGUCAGAGGUGAAAUCCACGGGCGCAACCCGUGAACUGCCUUUGAAACUGUUUCCCUUGAGUGUCGGAGACGUACUCGGCAUUCCUUGUGUAGCGGUGCCAUGCGUCGAUCUCAGG
rnacentral:rRNA from 1 species